CCGUGGUGACCUGCGGAAGGAUCAUUA
rnacentral:rRNA from 1 species